AAACAUACAAAGUAUGAGCUCAAUUUACCCUGUUUUGAAGAGUAUAAGUUGAUACAGUAUACCAGUACUUUCUGGGUUGUUUUGUUGUUGUUGUUGUUGUUGUUUUGAUAGGGCUUCCAGGCUGGAGUGCAGUGGCAUGAUCAUGGCUCACUGUAACCUCGACCCCCCAUGCUCAAGCAAUCCUCUCACUGCAGCCUCCUGAGUAACUGGGACUACAGGCAUAUGUCACCAUGCCAGGUACCUCAUCUGGCAAGAUGGCUGAAUAGGAACAGCUCCCGUCUGCAGCUCCCAGCAAGACCAACACAGAAGGAGGGUGAUUUCUGCAUUUUCUCCUGAGGUACUUGUUCAUCUCAUUGGGACCAGUUAGACAGUGAGUACAGCCCACAGAGCAUGAGCAGAAGCAGGGUGGGGUGUUGCCUCACGCAGGAAGUGCAAGGGGUCGGGGAACUCCCUCCCCUAGCCAAGGGAAGCCAUGAGGGACUGUGCUGUGAGGAAUGAUGCACUCCAACCCAGAUACUAUGCUCU
rnacentral:lncRNA from 1 species